rnacentral:rRNA from 1 species
AGGACGAACGCUGGCGGCGUGCUUAACACAUGCAAGUCGAGCGGAAAGGCCCUUCGGGGUACUCGAGCGGCGAACGGGUGAGUAACACGUGAGCAACCUGCCCUUAGCUUCGGGAUAGCUCCGGGAAACCGGAAUUAAUACCGAAUAUGACUUUGGCUGACAUCAGCAGAAGUGGAAAGUUUUUCGGCUAGGGAUGGACUCGCGGCCUAUCAGCUAGUUGGUGAGGUAACGGCCCACCAAGGCGACGACGGGUAGCCGGCCUGAGAGGGCGACCGGCCACACUGGGACUGAGACACGGCCCAGACUCCUACGGGAGGCAGCAGUGGGGAAUAUUGCGCAAUGGGCGAAAGCCUGACGCAGCGACGCCGCGUGGGGGAUGAAUGCCUUCGGGUUGUAAACCCUUUCAGCAGGGACGAAGCGAAAGUGACGGUACCUGCAGAAGAAGCGCCGGCUAACUACGUGCCAGCACCGC